rnacentral:rRNA from 1 species
UACGUAGGUGACCAGCGUUGUCCGGAUUUACUGGGCGUAAAGAGCGCGCAGGCGGUCGUUCAAGUCGAGUGUGAAAGCCCCCCGGCUCAACUGGGGAGGGUCACUCGAUACUGAUCGACUUGAAGGCAGGAGAGGGAAGCGGAAUUCCCGGUGUAGUGGUGAAAUGCGUAGAUAUCAGGAGGAACACCGAUGGCGAAGGCAGUGGUCUGGGCCGAUACUGACGCUGAGGAGCGAAAGCGUGGGGAGCGAACAGG